rnacentral:rRNA from 1 species
CUACGGGUUGCAGCAGUGGGGAAUAUUGCACAAUGGGCGCAAGCCUGAUGCAGCCAUGCCGCGUGUAUGAAGAAGGCCUUCGGGUUGUAAAGUACUUUCAGCGGGGAGGAAGGGAGUAAAGUUAAUACCUUUGCUCAUUGACGUUACCCGCAGAAGAAGCACCGGCUAACUCCGUGCCAGCAGCCGCGGUAAUACGGAGGGUGCAAGCGUUAAUCGGAAUUACUGGGCGUAAAGCGCACGCAGGCGGUUUGUUAAGUCAGAUGUGAAAUCCCCGGGCUCAACCUGGGAACUGCAUCUGAUACUGGACAGCUUGAGUCUCGUAGAGGGGGGUAGAAUUCCAGGUGUAGCGGUGAAAUGCGUAGAGAUCUGGAGGAAUACCGGUGGCGAAGGCGGCCCCCUGGACGAAGACUGACGCUCAGGUGCGAAAGCGUGGGGAGCAAACAGGAUUAGAUACCCCGGUAGUC